GACCUUGCUAAAAACAAAAGCAUAUAGUUUGGUGUACAUUACCUAAUUAGCAGAUUGUGCACGCACCUUGAAAACAGACGCGAUGGGGCAUUACGUUUUUUUUUAAGAUAUAGUUGGAAUACUGGACAGCAUUCACGUUAACAGGGAGUCCUAGACCUUGGCUUGAUUGUGACAUUGAGCACGACGGUGUGAAGUGCUUGGGCUGAGACUUAACGGUGCACUAUUUACUCAGCACACUCCCCUUGUUAUAUCUCCAUUUAUGUCCUGGUGCAGACACUCCGAUGGGUACAAAGGGCAGUUCAAGUCUAAACUAAACAGGUAUGUGGGAUUCUGAGAUCCAUUUCGAAAUCACACGAACGAUGGCGAGCCAGGUUGCAGGGAUUGCUAAAGCCGCUCAGUAAACCAUGAACCACCCACAGUAGAGCUGAGUUGAUCAAACUUGGUCGUUCUUGAAUAUCGCACAACUGUAAGCGAAAAUUGUGGGGGGUUUUAUUGCACAAGAGAUUUAGAAGAAGAGAUACAAUCGUGGCCAUUGCGAGUCACCUGUGUUUGAGUCAGGAAUAUUUUCGAUCUGCCUGAACCUUUCAGCCUGUGAAGCUUCUGUCAGCGAUAGCAAAAUGCAGCGUUUGACCAUCUUCAUACCUAUUUUAACGUUAUCACCAGGUCUUGUGUUCUAUGCUUUAAUUCUCGCUACAUGUAUUUAAACUACAUAAAGAAGCAAUUUAUCGAGAUCAGCACAUGUACUUAUCGACGUCAAUCACAAAAUCGCUUCCCAAAAAUAUUCUACUAAUGUUGCAAUGUGUAUCAUUACACUUAUUCCCCUCUCAUUUUCGUCACUAAUAAUAGUCAGCAUUCUAGAAUCGAGAUGUUGUACACAUAGUUCUAUUGAAUGAAAAGUAUUCUGAGAAAUCAGCCCAAAGAGAAAACCUUUUGUAUUUAAGGCAGAGCAUAUCAUUGGCCAUCGUCUACCGGGCGGGCAUGAGCCCACCAGUCCUCUCGUUUUGCAUUUUAAACACAAUUAGUUUUCAUACAAAAUCGCUCAAGCACUAUCCACAUUCGAAUGCGGAAUACAAUAAAACUGAACAAAGUUCAGUCCGUAAUCGGCUUCUAUUUGUGGCUGUGCGUUAACUGGGAGACUUAGGUUUGGAGGCAAGCUGCACAGUGCAGAUGGAAAGGUAGUGCAAACUGUUCGUUCAAAUCUUCUAGCAUUCUGGUACCAAUUCACAAUGCACUACAUCGCUUUUCGAAACUAGGAAACAACAUAGUGGCAGUAAAUCUACCAAGGAUUUUAGAAAAAAUAACUAGUUUAACAUUACAGUUGAAGAAUUUAUGCUGAAUGCGACUGACUGAACACUACACACCCGAGCCGGAUGUAUUCUCUUCAAAUCCCAGUUAUGUCAGUCAGGUCCCUUGCAAACUCUUGUAGCAUUGACAGAUGAUUAGGGGGCAGGGUGCAAUAGAUCAAUUUUUACCCAGACAUCUUACUUUUAUCCAGUGUCUUUAUGCAUUGUAAGAAUGGUAAAAUGAGGGGAAAAAAAUGCUUCAAAUUAUUCUUCCUAAGCGAACGAUGUUUGUGCGAGCCACAAGUUAUCAGGUGGUGCUUUAAAUGAAAACAGAGCUCACACUCAAAAGUUAAAGGCCUUGCUGAUAGUUCUUUGCAAUCCUGCCAAGCACAUGUUAAGCAUAUAAUGGCAUCAACCUCGGCCACCCCUGUUUCCUGAAGUAUAAUAGUUGAGUACCAUCGUUAGAGAGCUGACCACGCCGUUCAGAAGCAGUGGGAUUUUGAAACAUACGUCCCUUAAACAGAUAUUUUAUUCUGACUGAGUUACAAACAAAAGUUUUCUUUUGUUUCCCAGCAGACCACAAUAUGACUGUGGCCCUAAAACAUUCCGAAGUCAUAUUUGUCGUAGGGCAGCACACUGCAACUUCCUACUGAAAUAAAUAACCGCGUUGCUCCAACCCGUGCUCAGAUUGAGACUUUGUUUUUGCGCGUAAAGAUGUUGUUAUAAUGUUCGUGCUAGUCUAGAACAUUAUCACAUAACGUGUAAUGAGAAUGGAUUGUGCCUGAGUAAAUUUACACAGGUCUUUUGUGGAUACAGCCUCAGAGAAUAGCAGCUGGUGGGCAAUAAUUGAUGAUAUUGGAGACCAAUGGAUUGCAAGUGUAAUUUGUUAGCCUCCUUGAACCAUAUCAAAUGACAGCCUUGUGACCACAAAACUCACGAAAGAAAGCCAAAUAUAGACUGAAGCCUGGGUGGGUGCACACAUAAGCACGUGUAUGCGUGUAUACACGCGCACACACAACCAACAACCCGUGUCUAACACACAAAGAAAGACACAAAAUGCUGAAGUAACUCAACGGGUCAGACAGCAUCUCUGGAGAAAAGGAAUAGGUGAUGUUUCGGGUCGAGACCCUUCUUCAGACGCCUCCGCCACCUCCCUCUCCGUUCGUGAUCUCAUCGCCUCCAUCACAGGAGAUAGACUAUCGACGUCCCAGCAUUUUGUGUCUCUCUUCGGUGUAAAUCAGCACCUGCAGUUCCUUCUUACACAUUUUAUCUAACACACACGAAUUGGAUUAACUCAGUAUCAAACUCACUAAAUUAACAACUUAUUCUGAAAUGCAAAUACGUUAUCACAGUCAAUGCGGAGGUAAAUACUUGAAAUUAUGUUGUAAACAAUCUAUUGCAUUAGCAUUCUGCUUGGUCAUUCCUGCUGGAACUAAUAUACAUCUAAAAUUAUAUCCAUGCAUUCUCUUCCCCAUAUUGUAUGAUUCAAAUUGUGAAUUCAUAUGUAAAAAUUACCAUCUAAUUUCUUGAUUUUACUGUGCUACAAAUAUUGAAUACAAUUGAAGUAACAAAAAUUAUAUUAGCUGGAGAAAUGGUAAUGCGAAAUAGAUUGCUCAAUUAAUCGAAUGGACUAUUGUGUCACGAAAAUUGCACAUGUUUCAGUGUAUAUAAAAUAAGUCCAACUUCUGUUUAAAUAUGAAACCAUGAAACACUUGAGUGUGAAAAAGGAUCGCAGGUGAAAUGGAGACGCAGGGCACUGCAGAUGCCGGAGUCAUGAGCAAAACACAAAGCGCUGGAGGAACUCUGCGGGCCAUCCGUGGAGAGAAUGGACAGGCAACGUCUAGAGUCUGGAAUCUUCUGUUAGCAGGAUAUAGGCGUCAGAGGGAAGACCAGCAUCUAUUGGCUUCCCUAAUGGCUGGCGGGACAAUUUCACAGUCAACAAUAUCGACCAGACCAGGUGCUGAAUGAGGGCGUCGCAGGCAAACAGAACACUUAUCGUACAUCCAUAGUUUCACCCCCUUGAGAGCAGAUGAUGGCAACGGAGCCACUUAAACGUAACCCCGGAAUGGAUGUCUGAGAUGAACAAGUAUGGCGGCAUCGGUUGUGUCAGAACUGCGCCGCCAAAUACAGUUGGUGAACUAUCCAUGUCUGUGCCACUAGACAACAACCAUUUCAGAAACGCACAAAGGCCUGGUAUUGUCCGUCAAUUUAAAUCUAUCCUUAAAGUUUUCUUUAGUUUCAAUGGACUUUUAACCAUUGAGCAGUUAUUAUGAGGAAAGUGGCGCUUACUUGCCUAAGCGUUAUUGCGCGGAAAACUUUGCAAAUUUGUCAGCGGCGCAUGUCUGUGAAUCUCCAAACAACAAAAUAAAGUGAAACUGUGUGUUCUGGAAAA